rnacentral:tRNA from 3 species
GCCCGCGUGAUGGAAUGGUAGACAUAACGGACUUAAAAUCCGUGGAGCGUAAGCUCUUGCCGGUUCAAGUCUGGCCGCGGGUACCA